CACGCAUUCACUCCAGGCUGACUGUCCCCAUCUUUUCAUCAUAUUCCACGCAUUCACUCCAGGCCGACUGUCCCCAUCUUUCUAUCACAGUACCACGCAUUCCCUCCAGGCUGACUGUCCCCAUCUUUCCAUCACGGUUCCACGCAUUCACUCCAGGCUGACUGUCCCCAUCUUUCCAUCACGGUUCCACGCAUUCACUCCAGGCUGACUAUUUCCAUCUUUCCAUCAUUGUUCCCGCAUUCACUCCAGGCUGACUGUCCCCAUCUUUCCAUCACGGUGCC